rnacentral:rRNA from 1 species
GACAGAGGAGCCAAGCGUUGUCCGGAUUGACUGGGCGUAAAGCGCACGCAGGUGGUUUGGCAAGUGUGAUGCGAAAGCGACCCGCUUAACGGGCCGAGGCCAUCGCAGACUGCCUAACUCGAGCGCGAGAGAGGUCCGUGGAAUUGCCGGUGUAGUGGUGAAAUGCGUAGAUAUCUGCAGGAACACCCGUGGCGAAAGCGGCGCGCUGGACCACUACUGACGCUGAGGCGCGACAGCGUGGGGAGCAAACAGG